UUACUUAAAAUCUCAUAUUGGAAUAGAUUUUUAAGAUAUUAAUUACAUACACAAAAAUUUAAAUCCUCUAUAAUUUUAGACUUACCUUUAAUAUAUAUAUUUUGCAGGCAAGACAAUUAUGAGACGGAUCUUAGCCAGUACGACUGUGUACAGGUCAGUCUUCAGUGGCUAUCAUGAUGGUAGGUCUCCGGAGACAUAAUAAUUUGGGAUCAUAAUUUUAGGUUAUGGUAAUUAUAAGGAGAAAGCACUUAUAACGUCUUUAUAUUGGGCACAUGUGGGCAGAGAGCAGUAACAGACAGAAGGAAAGAACGGUUCCAAAGCAUUUGGACCGUAGGGGUUUUGACUCCGACCUGCAAGAAGUGAGAUCCACAUGCCCUGACUAGUCCAAGUAAGUAAUUAUCAAAAGACGGUGCCAAGCCGGGGAGGCUAUGUACAUGGCUUGGCUACAUUGCCCAAGUGGAUGGCUAUCAGUGUAUUAUCAAGAGAUAGGAGAGGGAGGAGGCGUAGUUAACAUAUUAUCAAUAAUGGUAUCAAUUACGGGGUUUAUUUGUCUAUGCAGGCUUUGGUUUUGGCUACAUUGAUGGUGAAGGCUGCUAUGAUUGUGGUGACUUGUGGAUGGUUCUGGCUUUAGCGAAGACGGUUCUCACUGUGGUGAAGAAGGUUAUGGUUAUGGUGAAGUUCGUUUUUGUUAAGAUAAAGAUGGUUCUGGUUGAGAUAAAGACGGUUCUGUUUUUGGUAAAUAUGGUUCUGGUUGCAGUGAAGAUGGUUCUGGUUGAGAUUAAGAUGGUUCUAGUUUGGGUGAGAAUGGUUCUGGUUGCGGUGAAGACGGUUCUGGUUGAGAUAAAGACGGUUCUGUUUUUGAUAAAUAUGGUUCUGGUUGCAAUGAAGAUGGUUCUGGUUGAGAUUAAGAUGGUUCUAGUUUGGGUGAGAAUGGUUCUGGUUGCGGUGAAGACGGUUCUGGUUGAGAUUAAGAUUGUUCCUGGUUGUGGUGAAGAUGGUUCUGGCUGUGGUGAAGGUGGUUCUGGUUGUAGUGAAGAUGGUUCGUCACGUGAGGGUGGUACUGAUUAAAGUGAAAAUAUCUCAGACAAAAAAAUCGUAAAGAUCAUUAUAGACAUCGUAGGCGUAGUCUGAUGGCUGAUAGUCAUUCUCCGUCUCCUGGAAUUAAUCAAAUAUUCACCAAAUACUGACCACCAGAUCAGUAGUUCUGGUGGUCAAUAUACACAGUAGUUUUGGUGGUGGUGGUGUCGGAACUGAGAGUACGUGUACGUAUGGUUGAGCUUCAGAUUCGAAAUAAAGAGACCCC